ACGUUGAAUCGCCGGUUCUCGUACGGUAAUCAAAGUUAAACAACGUCGAGCCUGUUCAGUAUCUAGAUGGGUGUCCGCUUGGGAAUACCAGGUGCUGUAA